GGUCGAUGCGUCUUACGUGACCUAUUUCUCAACACGGGCGCACGCUAUUAGUUUUUACCUGUCUGUUAUUUCUAACAAUCAUAAAGGUCCUCUGAUAAUACUAAUACAGAAUCGACAUCUCUGUGACUUAGGGAUCUCUAAGAAGGUAUUCAGGCCUCCAGCUGACUGUUUUAGGCUGAACGUCUGAGGAAACACAGCAAAGGUAAGAAACAUUAUGCCACACAAGACUCCCCACUAUGCAGACAGACUGCACCAUUAAAACACAACCUUCUCAACCAAUGUGUCUCUCUUCUUGUAUCGAAGACUUGUUAAACCCAGUUGUCAGCGUGAUGUAUGAAAUGCAGUUUAACAAAAACGUCUGUGUGGUUUUAAACAUAUCCUGUUCCACCCUAAAACGUUGAUUCAAAGAUUAUACGGGUUUAUACGUGUUUGAAAGGUAAUUGUGCUCAUGCGGUAUGGAAGAAACCGUGCAGGUCAACUUUUCCAAGUGACAGUAAGAAUGCUAGGAUCAUGCAAAAAAAAAGCAGCCGAUAUUUCUCGUCU